rnacentral:rRNA from 2 species
UGGGGAAUAUUGGGCAAUGGGGGAAACCCUGACCCAGCAACGCCGCGUGAGGGAAGAAGGCCUUCGGGUUGUAAACCUCUGUCAUUAGGGAAGAAGGAAGUGACGGUACCUAAUGAGGAAGCCCCGGCUAACUACGUGCCAGCAGCCGCGGUAAUACGUAGGGGGCGAGCGUUGUCCGGAAUUACUGGGCGUAAAGGGUGCGCAGGCGGCCGAUUAAGUUGGAUGUGAAAUACCCGGGCUUAACUUGGGUUGUGCAUUCAAAACUGGUUGGCUAGAGUGCAGGAGAGGGAAGCGGAAUUCCUAGUGUAGCGGUGAAAUGCGUAGAUAUUAGGAGGAACACCAGUGGCGAAGGCGGCUUUCUGGACUGUAACUGACGCUGAGGCACGAAAGCGUGGGGAGCAAACAGG